GAAUGUCAAAUUUCUAGUAUGAGAAAUUAACGAUUUAAGUCCUUCUUAAAUGAGGCCAUUUACCCAUAGAGGGUGCCAGGCCCGUAUAACGUUAAUGAUUACUAGAUGGCAUUUCCAAAGAGUCGUGUUGCUUGAUAGUGCAGCACUAAGUGGGUGGUAAACUCCAUCUAAAACUAAAUAUAACCAUGAGACCGAUAGUAAACAAGUACCGUGAGGGAAAGUUGAAAAGAACUCUGAAUAGAGAGUUAAAUAGUACGUGAAACUGCUUAGAGGUUAAGCCCGAUGAACCUGAAUAUCCAUUAUAGAAAAUUCAUCAUUAUGAUUUUAAUAUAUCAAAAUAAUGGUGUGCAUUUUUUCUAUAAAGGACAUUGUAAUCUAUUGACAAUUUAUCAAAAGAUCAGCGUAAGUUUAUUCAAAUUAUUUUGCGCAAUUUAACAUAAAAUAAAUGCUUUUGAUUUGAUAAAGUGUUGAUAGAUUUAACAUAUAGUGCUUGAAUAAUAUUCUAUAAUAGCAUAUUAAUUUAUAAUUUUUGUGUUUAUUAUAUGCACUUAUAUGAUUAACAAUGCGAAAGAUUCAGGAUACCUUCGGGACCCGUCUUGAAACACGGACCAAGGAGUCUAACAUAUUUGCAAGUUAUUGGGAAAAACCUAAUAGCGAAAUUAACAUAACUUGGGAUUAGUUUUUAGUCUAGUCUAUUAAUUCAAUCCCGGGGCGUUCUAUAUAGUUAUGUAUAAUAAUAUUUAUAUUAUUUAUACCUCUAACUAGAGCGUACCUUGAGCAUAUAUGCUGUGACCCGAAAGAUGGUGAACUAUACUUGAUCAGGUUGAAGUCAGGGGAAA
rnacentral:rRNA from 1 species